rnacentral:misc_RNA from 1 species
GCUUUGCAGGACAAUAAAUUUGUUAUGCUAAAAGGGGAGAAAAACAAUAAAUCUUGUAUGCAAAUAUGAUGAUAAUUGAUAAUGUUUGCAUUCUAUGGUCUGAUAUUCUUCUCAUCAAAGCCAUGAAGCACAUCUAAUUCUGUUUUGUGAAAGCUUGGAUGUAAAUAUGGUAUGACUAAAGGAGUAAAUUAUCAAAACCAGAGAUUACUUGAGCAUUGCAGUUAAAAAUUUUAAUGUCUACCAACUCACAACUUCUGGUGUAUUCUCUUAUAAAUGUAUAGGUUUGGAACAUGGUGACCAAUG